UGGGCAGGGACACCUUCCACAAGUUACUCCAAGCCCCACCAACACCUCCAGGAAUCCAGGGGAACAUCCAGCCUGGAUUUGAACAUCUCCAGAUUAGGGCUCCUCUCUUACAGUUGUCCUGAUUAGAUUGGGUUCCACAGUCCUAAAAACACCCAACUGGGAAAAGCAGUGGAAAAACCAGAAAUUAACUCAGGAACUCCCAUCAGAUCCUUCACUGGAGGAAUCCUUUUCCUCAGGGAAGCCCACUUGGUCCCCAGCAGAUUGACAGAGAAAAUGGGAGAAGUUUGGAUUUCAGCCUGUGCUGAAACACAAACAAAGACAAAACCAAAGAGUUUUCUUCCUCCCGAGGGCCAGCAGGGAGCUCAUGUGCCACGCACGUGGCUCUGGACCCUGCAGGGCCCCAGCCCCAUCUCCUCCUCUCUUCUGGGACCUCGUAACCAGAGAGCAAAAUCUGCUGAAAGUUUGAUUCCAAAUCCAGCUGGGCUAUAAAAAUACCCGGGAGGCUUUGGCAGGACGUGGCCUGAGCAUCGCUUUUUUUUGAAGAGCAAGUCAACGUAAUGCAAGGAAAAGCAGCUCUGCUGCAUCGUGCCAUGACAGAGAUAAAUGGGAAAAUUGGAUCAGACAAAUUGCAUCCCUUCAGCCAUAUGGGGGAAAACUCCAGCUGCACCCUGGGCUGGGCUGAUGUGACGAAGGAGAUUUUUCCUCAAUGGCUUGAGCGGGGUUGACUUUUUGCAGACUAAAUGGAGGAGCAGUUUUGACCAUUUUCCUGUCACUUUGAUCCAGCUGGAGAGUCUCCAGCCAUGCUGAAAUGCUGCUACUCGCCUGGAGUGAGGUUCAGGAGACUGCGAAAAGAUCACAAGGCUUUCAGAAAUAACUCCAACUCCCAGGUGGUUCAAAACAUAGGGGAGAAAAAUAAAGUGUCCGAUCGCCCUGAGCCCCGAGAUGCUUUUUCAUUUGCACAAAUUUACGGUUAAGGGACAAGUUCUGAUUUCAGCUUUCCCCCCGAGAGUGUCGCUGACACCAACAGAAGUGGUGUGUGUAAACAAGGGGCAACCUUUCAAAUCCAGAGCUCUCCUCUCUCCCGGGGUCCCUGGAAGCACAAGAGGCUUUUUCUAGGAGCCAGCAAGGAUUUGCUGCUCAGAUCCACAGUCUCGACC